rnacentral:rRNA from 1 species
CCUACGGGUGGCAGCAGUAGGGAAUUUUCGUCAAUGGGCGCAAGCCUGAACGAGCAAUGCCGCGUGAACGAGGAAGGUCUUCGGAUCGUAAAGUUCUGUUGAAGGGGAAAAAGAGCGGAGAGAGGAAAUGGUCUCCGAUUGAUAUUACCCUUCGAGGAAGUCACGGCUAACUACGUGCCAGCAGCCGCGGUAAUCCGUAGGUGGCGAUCGUUAUCCGGAAUGAUUGGGCGUAAAGGUUGCGUAGGCGGCCUGCUAAGUCUGGAGUGAACGGUACCGGCGCAACCGGUACAGGCUCUGGAAACUGGCGGGCUAGAGAGCAGGAGAGGGAGGUGGAACUCCAUGUGUAGCGGUAAAAUGCGUAGAGAUAUGGAAGAACACCAGUGGAGAAGGCGGUCGCCUGGCCUGUUACUGACGCUGAGGCACGAAAGCGUGGGGAGCAAAUAGGAUUAGAUACCCCAGUAGUC